rnacentral:rRNA from 1 species
AAGAGAAGGGUCCAGAAAUUUCCCCAAAUCCUCUCCAUGGUUCUUCCAAUCCCUAAAACUAUUCUCUCAAAUCUUGCUUGAUUUUCAAGAUGGCAUCGGAGCAGGUUGAAAUCCACUGCGUUUCUUCUGUGAUUUGAGGUUGGCGGUGCUGUGUUGCCGUCCAGAUUCGCCAGCUUGACUACGGUGGCUAGGCGGUAAGCUUUGAAUCAUCAAGUCGCCCCUGUGUUAGUUGAUAAGAAAACGAGAAGCUAGUGAUGUCUUGCCGCAUCUAGCCGCACUGCCGCCGGUAUACAAAUUUGUUAAUCUGCAGGCGAGCUUCUUGCUGUCAUCCGCCAAUAUACGGCCACUGCCUCCUCUGCAUCUGACCAUCUGUAUGAGAAGGUGAUAAUAGCACCUGUGAUUCCCUUUGGAUUAUUGCGAUUAGUACUGACUGACUGUGAGCUCGUCAAGUCAAGCUUAUCUUUGCUUGGUGGCCGGAUUAAAAUAUUCUGCUUGUGUUGCAUGUGUGCAUCUGAGAGCAACUCAUACUAAUACAUCUACUUGCCAUUGUGUACGAGUGUGUUGCUGGUGGAGUGCUAAAACAAGUCCUGUGUGACUGGGUGUUUGUUUUGUCGUGGUGAACUAUGGCAUAUCCAAGCAAGGAUAAAGCAGGGGAUUCUAGUGUGGAUAAGCUAUAUGAAAUUUUCAGCAAAAUGUUUGAGCAGCAGCAACAACUCAGAGUGGUUCCUGAAGGAAUCAAAUAUGCACUUGAGCCUAAUCCAGUAAAGCUGGCUGGACCGGGCAAUUACAUCAGCUGGGCACGACAUGCCCAGUUAAUCCUGAGUUCUCAUGGUUAUGAUGACUUGCUUAGUGCUGAUGAAGGAAAACAACUAAGUGACACUAGUGCAAAACAGGUUAAUGACAGAGUGUUGGUCUGGUUAUUAGGAAGCAUGGAACCACCAAUUCGAGAACAAGUUGAGACUAUGACUACUGUAUCUGAAGUAUGGGCAGCUUUGGAGAAGCAGUUUGCAGGGAGAUCCAAUAAAAUGCAAGGUAAUCGUAUUAUGCGUGAAUUGACAAACCUAAAGCAAGGCGCAAAGUCUGUGACAGAGUAUGCUGGUGAGACCAAAAGACUGUACAGAGAACUGCAUUAUUAUCAUCCCUUUGAGCCCGUUGACAAACAAGACUUGGCUAUUCAUCAUACCUGGUUUGAGCCAUUUGUGAGCAAGCUCUUUCUUGAUGGCUUAAAUGAGGAAUUUGACCUUCGACGCCAACUUAUAUUCUCAAAAACUGAGUGGCUUAGUCUUGAUGAUGUUAUCUCAAGUGUGAUAGAGGAGGAGACUCGGUUGGCUCAGCCUGAGAAUGGCCUAAAGUAUAUAGAUGCUCGUGCAGCCUUAUCCAUGCAAGCUCGACGUGCCCCAAAGUUUGUUGGCAAAUCAGAUAAAAACAAACUUUUCUGCAACCAUUGUAAAAGGACUGGACACAUAAAGGAUGCAUGCUUUGAGCUGCAUGGCUUUCCAACUUGGUGGGAAAAAGGAAAGUCUCGACCAGGAGGAGUUCAUGGAGCAAACAAAAAACAAGCUAACCUCACUACAUCCAAGGGGGAGCUACCAGUGGUCGAUGUGCGAGCUCUUGAGGAUUUUACUUCCAAGCUUAGACUCUCAGAAGGCUCGUCUACUUCCCAGGAUUCCUCUAAAGCUGAAUCUAGUUUCUAUAUCAAUUCACACCAAAGUAUGAAACCUCACCAGACCCACACUUCUACAACACAAUCAAACCCUUGGGUUAUUGAUACAGGAGCUACUAACCACAUGACAGGAGCCUCAAAUUUGUUCACUUCUUACACACCUUGUUCAGGUAAGGACAAGGUACGUGUAGCUGAUGGAUCCAUGGCACCUAUUGUAGGACAUGGAUCCGUUAGGUGCACUAAGACAUUGUCCUUAUCUCCGGUUCUACAUGUUCCUAAAUUUCCAAUCAACCUCUUAUCUGUUAGCUAUAUUACUAAAUCCCUUAACUGUAGAGGUUGGUUUGAUCCUACCUGUUGUGCUUUUCAGGAGCUAGCGACAGGGAGACUGUUGGGGACUGGGACCGUGCAUGAUGGACUCUACUAUCUUGAUGAAGGAAGUGAUGAAGUUGCUUUUGCAUCAUGCUUGUCUCCUAGCCAAGAACUGCUACUCCAUCAUCGCAAGCUUGGCCAUCUAUCUUUUGCUGCAUUAUUAUGUAUUUACCCCUCUCUUUUCAAGUUGUGUCCCAAGGAGCUCCUUGUAUGUGAUGCUUGUGAGUUAGCUAAACAUACAAGGGGUUCCUAUCCUAGUAUAGGUUUAAGAAGUGCCAAACCAUUUGAAAUGAUUCACUCGGAUGUUUGGGGACCCUGUGAGGUUCGUUCCAUUUUUGGGCACCGAUGGUUUGUGACUUUUAUUGAUUGCUUUAGUCAUUACACUUGGCUUUAUCUCUUGAAGCAUAAGAGUGAUGUGUUCUUGGUUUUUAAGGAUUUAUGUGCUCUCAUUAAAAAUCAACAUGGGGCAACUAUUAAAACCUUGCGUUCAGACAAUGGUACUGAAUAUAU